UAGGGAAUCUUCCACAAUGGGCGAAAGCCUGAUGGAGCAACGCCGCGUGUGUGAUGAAGGCUUUAGGGUCGUAAAGCACUGUUGUAUGGGAAGAAAUGCUAGAAUAGGGAGUGAUUCUAGUUCGACGGUACCAUACCAGAAAGGGACGGCUAAAUACGUGCCAGCAGCCGCGGUAAUACGUAUGUCCCGAGCGUUAUCCGGAUUUAUUGGGCGUAAAGCGAGCGCAGACGGUUGAUUAAGUCUGAUGUGAAAGCCCGGAGCUCAACUCCGGAAUGGCAUUGGAAACUGGUUAACUUGAGUGUUGUAGAGGUAAGUGGAACUCCAUGUGUAGCGGUGGAAUGCGUAGAUAUAUGGAAGAACACCAGUGGCGAAGGCGGCUUACUGGACAACAACUGACGUUGAGGCUCGAAAGUGUGGGUAGCAAACAGGAUUAGAUACCCUGGUAGUCCACACCGUAAACGAUGAAUACUAGGUGUUAGGAGGUUUCCGCCUCUUAGUGCCGAAGCUAACGCAUUAAGUAUUCCGCCUGGGGAGUACNACCGCAAGGUUG
rnacentral:rRNA from 1 species